CCUUUAGCUUCGUUAUUUUGAUUUUUUUUCCAGUGGUUGAAAAGAGCAUACGUAUUUAUUUCUUGUUCUCUUUUCCUCAGAUACAA